GGCGCCAGAUGCGGCGGCAGAAGAGAUCAAGCGAGCGGACUGAUCGGGGUACUCUCGCCGACGCGUUCACGGAGAGCAACUGUCACGCACGUAGUCAUUGGAGCGUUUCAGCAAGGAGCGCUUGGCGUAGCGUCGCGGCCGGCCUCGACGCCGGUAGACCGGCAAGCGGAAACGACACACGAUCCAGCAGGGGCGAUUUAGACGUUAGAGGAGGCUGCGGACGCAACAACUCGCCUCAGAGGUGUAGAUCGUCGUCGCGGCCGCUGAGAAUAGGUAGGUAGUUACCUUCCUCGCAUAGUUAAAUGAUACGUAAUAAAAGGGAAUGGGACGUAAACAUGCUUGUCUUUCUUCAUGGAACGACUGUUUACUUUAUCAAGUCUCUAUUGUUAAACCUUGUCUAUUCCGCCGAUACAGACGUUGUGUAAUAUAUAAAUCACUCCCGGAUCGAACCUGUUCUCCCUACUUGUAACCUCGUUCUAAUACGCACCUCUACUACCGUACACGUUCCCCUUGUUCUUGCCUCAAUGUUCUCUACUAAAGUCCUGAAACUUCGGUGGUAUUACUCACGUACUUCGGAACCUGCUUUAUAUGUUCUACGGUUAAGUAUUUAAAGCAGGUCUCCGAUAAUAUCCACGAUGCAGUGGAAUAAAAACCCGGUACGGGUACAUUAAAGCUUUAUCAGUUCAUAUCCGACAAAAAAUGUCAGGCAUACACACCGCUUUGUUGUCAAUCCCAACCAAAGCCUGGGGAGGAGGUUCCCGGUACUUUAAGGGCGGAGAAGGAGGUAUAUACGUUGGGAAUCCCGUAGCAAAUCUGAAACCCAAAACAAAUCUAAUUUUCAAGCGGUAUCGACGUUGAAGCGCAUGAAGCAAACACAAGUUGCUGGUCUGGUUCUGCAGUAUCUCGGGGUGGAACUAGUUAUUUCGAAAGGAGAAUAUAAGCG
rnacentral:rRNA from 1 species